rnacentral:lncRNA from 1 species
GGAAUUGAUCUGCAGGGAUGGGGGGUUGCUGUUCUCGUUGGCGUUCCUAACAAAGAUGAUGCAUUCAAGACCCAUCCGAUGAAUCUCUUGAAUGAGAGGACUCUCAAGGGCACUUUCUUUGGCAACUUCAAGCCAAGGACCGACCUUCCCUCUGUUGUAGAGAAGUACAUGAAUAAGGUAUAACCCCAACUCGUGAUGCUUCUUCACGGCACAUGCACAUACCCUGUCAUCCAUGCAUAAAUUGCCAUCUUACCCGGUUCCAAAGCUUUGCAUACAAUUUACGCAUUUGUUCUCUUUUUCUCUUACUCGUCUGCAUCAUGUACGGAGUUUUUGACUGAAGUGAUGUUCGUAUUCGAACAGGAACUUGAGCUGGAGAAGUUCAUUACACACGAGGUUCCUUUCUCGGAGAUCAACAAGGCCUUCGACUACAUGCUUCAAGGCGCCGGCCUUCGCUGCCUAAUCCGCAUGGGCGAGUAGAAUCACUGAGGGUACGGAGCAUGGUCGCUUCGCUUCGGGGAGAGAGGCCAAAACUUUUCUUGCAUUUGAGGUUUAUUGCUGCAUCGUUUUUAUCUGCCCGUGUCUUGAGGCAGAAGAGUGAUUUCAUAAAUGACUUUUUGCUGCUGUAAAUGGUUUAUUAGUAACUAAUGAGUGGAUUAUUUCGUGUUCUAUCGUCAGAAAGAUAUGGAGAUUCUUAUGGUUCUUUGUUACGGCAUAUUGUCUGACAAUUGAGUGCUCAUCUUUGGAACAGGAAUUUUCGUUCCUGCUUAUCUCUAGAAUCAUGAAAUGAACUAAUAUGUGAAGACUUCAACAAGAGGGAAAACAAUGAGCUCGGUUCUGAGCCGGAUCGGUUCGAAACGAUCUGAGCCCGUCGAUGCCUGUAGAGGCGAUGGUUUCUAACAGGGCGACGCGAUAACAUGAUUCGAACAAGACGAUAAUUUACUUUGAAUUCGUGUUCCUCCCAAUAUAAUAUUCUAGUAUGGAAUCUGCUUCUACGCCACUGGAGAAAUUGAUUUUCUUCCUGUCAACUUGGCAACAAGUCGAUGAUAUGUGCUUGUCUGAUCUCUCUGCUGGGCAUGACUGUCUGGACUCCAAAUCUUAAAAUUUGUCCGUGACGGACGGGCAAUUUAGUUUUAAAAUUUUUAAAAAGUGUAAUUGAUUUUAAAUUUUUUAAAAUAUAUAUAAUUAAAUUUUAAAAUUUGUCAAAAUAUAAUUAAUUUCUAAAAUUUUAAAAAAUAUAAUUUGUACAAUUAAUUCCUAAAAUUUGUCAAAUUUGUACAAUUAAUUCCUAAAAUUUUGUAUUAUUCAUAAGUUGGACGGAAUCAAUUGAAUUAAUUUGAAAAUUCAAUUGCACAUUUACAAAUUCAAUCGACUGAUCUUUCGUAAGCAUGAACAACAUUGGAUUAUGGUUGAAGUUUGAUCAUCACAUUAGAUGGAACAACUGUCCCAAACACAGGCAUAAAACUCUUCGAGAAACCAUGCCUCUUCUCAGCAGGAAAUUUGCCGAUGAUAAUGGUACGGCCGCAUUCCAGAGUGGAAAUUUGACCUUUAGAUUAAGACAAAACUCUCCAAGAAGCUGAAAAGUCUUUUCUUCUCUCUUCUCUUUUCAUUGUCUUGUUCAACCUUCAACCAUAGCGAGGGUUUGAGCCAAGUCUCACCCUCUCCUCCAUUUGUUUUGAUUUUCUUCAAGUAUUUGUUCUGUACUUUUCCUCUUUUUCUUUCUCAAUUUAGUUCUAAAUUUAAAAGUUUGAACUCUUCAAAUUUAGUUUUAGACUUAGAAGUUCUUCUCUCCCAAUUUAGAUUCGGGAGUUUCAUAAUUUUUUUGAGGAUUCGAUAUCCACGUGCUCUAUCCGUAUAUAGGUUCUUUGCCUCUAGUUUCAUUGAUAAUUGCAGAAGUUUGGGCGUUUCGCUAAAUUAUGAAGAUUUGCUCUUCCAAAGUUUAAAUUUGUAUUUGUUCAAUCUAUUUUGGUUGUCUCCGUAUGGCAAUGGUGUAGAAGAAGCUGAACCUAGGCGUGCACCUUCAUGUGGCAACGCUGUAAUUAGCAUGUGCUAAUUAAUGACGAUGAUAUGAGAUUUAGUGAUUGAUCGCCAAUUAUUUUAUAUGACAAGUCUAUCCUUUUGGAAUGAGUGUAUGUUUAACCCUGCUGGUGUUUUGUUGAUCCUCCUUAUUUUCUGGAUUUGGCUUUGUUUUGUAAUAUUUUAGCCUUUGCUUUGCUUCGACUUGCUUUAUCAUGAAAGUUUACCAUGGAAAUUUAUGUACUUUUUGUGUAUCCUUUUGAGUCAUGAACAAUUUUUUCGACAAGAAAAAAAGUGGAAAUUUGAUCCAUGAUCUAAUUGCCAAAUCGAAUAACAAACCAAUAUUCUUUGAAUGAGCAAGUCAACCCAGCACCCCAAAUCCAUCACCCUUAUUUGAGAUAUAGCGAUCCAUCAUAUUUAUCGAAAUGUCGUUAUUUUUGUCGUAAUAUUAACACGGAAACAAUAGGGUCUUGCAAAUUAAUUCAAUACGAAAAUAUCAUAAAAGUAAACAAGGAAUAAUAAGGACAUUAGAGAUUAACGUGGUUCGGUUCGAGUAUUGGAAUCUACAUUCACAAAAAGAGCCAAUAACAAAUAAUACACUAAUAAUCAGAGAAUUUAAGUUAUAAUCAUUCAUACGCUCGAGUGUUUUUGACACAUAAAUUUAAACUCAAACCAAAGGUUGCAUUUGACAAUCAGGAUAAGAUUUAGGUUAGGAUAAAUUUAUCUUAUCUUGCAUUAAAUACCUAAAAUCAGAUAUAAGAGUGAUGUAGGUUGAAUAAAACUAUCUCAUGGGAAAGGUAGGACAAAUGUGAAUCAGAUUUUCUAAUAUCCAUAGGAAAAUUAUUUUUCUCAACUAAAAACUCCUUAAAUUAACAAAUUUAUAAUUAUAUUAAAUAUAAAAUAAUAUUUGAAUUCUAAUAUGUAAAAUUCAAAAUAACAAAAAAAAUUAGUUUUUUAAUUUAACCUUACUUUUAUUUAUAUAUUCGAAUUUAAUUGUAUCUUAUAAUAUAAGUAUACCGAUACUUAUAGGUGUUUUAGAUAUUCGAAUUUAAUUGUAUCUUAUAAUAUAAAUUUAAUAUAUGCAUAUAAAUUUAUAUUUAUUACAUAUUUUUAGGUGUUUUAGAAUUUUAAGUAUACCGAUACAAUUUUUUAUUUAAUGAAAUUUUAUCUGAGAACAAUGGAAGGGGAAGAAAGAAAUAAAAAUGAAAUUAAUUAAAAAAGAGAGGAAAAUUAAAUAAAAAUAAAGUAGACAAGAGUGUAGUGAGAGAUUUUUACUAUCUUCAUUUGUAAAAUUGUUAAUCCAUUUAUAUUGAUAUACCAUUUAUACCAAACAAGAUGCAUAAUAUGUUAUGAAUAUCAAGUAGUGGAUAUAAUAUAGUAAAAAUUUUGAAUUUUAAAUUUAAUCAUAUUUAGUUAUAUCUUAAUUAGAAAUUUAAACAACCAAACGUAGCUAAGUUGUUUACAAAUAAACAAUUCGAUUGGAUAUGAAAUUCGUAGUAUAAAUUGCUGAAAAUUCAAGUCCAAACAAAACGCUCCUGCACGAUUCCCUAGAACGUCUGUACGUUCUAUAUUUUGUUCGUGCAGCACCCGUGUGGCUCGUGUCUCAGCGAAAGGAGAAAAUAAAUAAUAAUAUAAGAGAAACCCUGACCAAUUGUCCUUUUGUUGAAAUUACCUUUUUAACCCCUAAAGUAAACAUAUGCGUGACGCCCCUUCUUUUGUCUUGUGGUGCAAAACUUUUCAGACCAAACUUGGAAUCAUAUACGCAUGCGGUCCUGGAUGAUUACGGAAAACCAGCGUUCAAGAAUAAGAAAACAAGUUUGAUUCGAAUAGUGGGGUAUCAAAUUUUGAAUAAAUCGAAAUCUUUUGACAAAUCGGAUUUCAUAAAAAGUUCAAACUCGAGAUAUUAAUUUAAUACUUUUUAUAUUAAAAAAUAAGUCAAUUAUACCACUAGUCCAUAGUAUGGGUGAUGACAACUUGUCAAAUUUGGUGUCCACCUCCUAAAUUACUAUGAAUUUACACUUUCUCAUCAUAAGUGAUCUCGACCUUAUAAAACAAAUUUUUUGUCAUUAUAUAAUAUUUUGAUAUUUAAUUACAUGUACACGAUGUAGACCUAUUAAAAUGGAUUAUAACCACAAUCCUUAACUCAUAUUUGAUAAUAUGAGUUCUCAUAUGAUUUAGUUAUAUUUAGCAAUUUGAUAAUCAAUUGAUUUAGAAUGGCAAAAUCCAAAAUAAUAUCAACGUUAAACGGUUUCCAAUAUAUUUCAACUUGGCUCACUUCACUCUCUCUCCCCCUCAAUCAAUCUCGUGAUCACUUACUUUGCGCGCUCACUCAAGUUUGUAUAUGAAUUUUCUUAAAGUGCGUUAAAUACAGAAAUGUUUUAAUAAUAUAACCCGAGCAUUUGUUAGAUAUGGAUCACUGGACUUAUAUUAUGUGAAAAUAAGUCAAAGCAAGUUAAAUGAGUUAAUUUGAAUUGCACCAUUUUUCAACCUAACUCGACCUACCCAAAAGCAUCACACGAGAGUAGGGAUGAGCAUAUUAGACUACCCGAACUAGGAAUUGCCCGGAUUGAUCAGUUCCUGAGGGCAUCGGUUUAGUUCCCAUUUCCAUAAAAAUGAAACUGAUGAUUCUUGGUCUGGUUCCCGCUUCCAAAGGAAACUAGACUGAUGGAUUGGACCAAUUAUUUACUUUUUCAAUUUUUUUUAAUUUCUAAAAAAUAACAAUAAAUCCUAAAUUUGUAAUAACUCUAGUAUUUAUAUAUAUAAUAUAUAUUGCUAAGUGGUCACUUUCAUGUCCAAUUUUUGGUCCGAGGAUUGUCCAGUUGGAUUCUCAAUCCCAAAAAAUGCGAACCGACCCUCCAGCUUUCGAUUUCUAGGUAAAAUCGAACUGGAUCGGGAACUGACCAACCUACACGAAAGAGAGCCUCAUGCGCGGAGGGCCACGUCCUGCAUCCAAUGAACGUCGGAGCCGUCCCAAAGCCAAACCGGCAACCGCGGAAAGCGCCGUGGGAUUCCUUCCCUAGCCUCGCUGUUCCCCUACCCCUCCAGGAGCGAGAGUUGGUGGGAAAGCCAGAAUUCCGUCCAAAGUUUUCGCCAGUCCCUGGUUUCUCUCCGAGCAAGAAUAAGCAAUUUGAACUCCUUCUCUCCUCGACUCGGCGAGCUGCGCUUGUAUAAAAGCCACCGCCGUGCCCGACCCACUUCCUCACAUCCGCACUAGAACCGGUUCUUGAGGGCGAAGAGAUCAGUGGAAACAGAGUAGUUUCGGAAUUCGGGUGGUAGGAUAUCGCUGAGGUCGAGAUGGCGAGCACCGCUGGUCAGGUCAUUCGCUGCAAGGGUAUGUCUUUUUCUUUUUCUUUUAUGGAGAUGGUCUUCGAUUCUUGACUUGGGUUUGCGUCGGUUUUUGGCUUUCUCGAGUCUUCUUACGUGACGAGUUCUUGGACUUGCGUUACUGGGUUUUUAGAUCGUUUCGUUUUCUUUGAGGACGUAUGCUGUGGCGGCUCGUUUAGCUGGGUGGUGCUGAUCUUGCUGUGGGGAAUGUGAACUAUAUAAGUUCUUUUGCUUAAUUUGCUUUAGUUCGUAACUAUUAUUUUGAUCAUGACCGCGUGGGUAUCUAAUGCCAUCUCCUAGAAAGCAGGGCAAGUUUCCUUUUUGUUCUAUUUCGCGUUCAUAUUUUGAUGACGUUUGGCUGUUUAAAUUUUGCCUGAGUAUUGUCAAAUAGAAUUUGGGCUUUGAAUCCUUUUCCGUAGCUAAAGAUCUGUACUUAUGAGCGUGAAUUCGAUUUGCCUCAUGGUGUGAUUAUGUUGAACAUGCAAUGCAGCUGCGGUGGCAUGGGAAGCUGGAAAGCCGCUUGUGAUGGAAGAAGUGGAGGUGGCUCCUCCGCAGGCGAUGGAGGUUCGUAUCAAGAUCCUCUUCACCUCCCUUUGCCACACUGACGUUUUCUUCUGGGAAGCCAAGGUGACUACAUUUGCAUUUUCUAUAUGGUUUUGGAUAUAUGUUGGCUAAAUCGACUGAUCAUUAUGUAUCGUGAUGAUUAAUGGGACUUACAAAAUUGAAUUGCAGGGACAAACCCCGUUGUUUCCUCGCAUCUUUGGUCAUGAAGCAUCAGGGUAUGGACCUUUACGUGAAAGCGUUCAUCUCCUUUUAUUGGUUGAACUUACAUUUAGGUCAAUUGCCAAUAUUGGUAAUAUUUAUCGACUGUCUUGUAAAAUCAUGUUCCCUUCUUCCAUUUUGCAAUUUAGGAUUGUCGAAAGUGUCGGUGAGGGUGUCACUGAACUUGAACCCGGUGAUCAUGUCCUUCCUGUAUUCACCGGAGAAUGCAAGGAGUGCCGGCAUUGUAAAUCAGUGGAGAGCAAUAUGUGUGACCUGCUCAGGAUAAACACGGAUCGAGGGGUUAUGCUUAAUGAUAAUGCGUCGAGGUUCUCCAUCAAUGGGAAGCCCAUUUACCAUUUUGUUGGCACUUCGACUUUUAGUGAGUACACCGUGGUUCAUGUCGGUUGUGUCGCCAAGAUCAACCCUGCAGCCCCGCUGGACAAAGUCUGUGUUCUCAGCUGCGGCAUCUCUACAGGUCAGUCAAAUGUUUCAUAAACUAUGUUGUUGUACUCUAGAUUUCCCAUUGGCUUACGUCAGCAUUAACUGAUGUCUUGUUUUCCUUAUUGGAAGGUCUUGGUGCCACCUUGAAUGUCGCGAAGCCGAAGAAGGGGCAAUCGGUAGCCAUUUUUGGACUCGGAGCUGUGGGCCUUGCUGUGAGUUUCAUUUCUUUUCCUGUCUUUCACAACAAAAUCAGAUGAAUUUGUUCAAGUGCAGUUGCAAAUGAAGACUUAAAUUGUUCAUCAGGCAGCUGAAGGGGCUCGAAUGGCAGGGGCUUCAAGGAUUAUUGGAGUGGAUCUGAAUCCAAACAGAUUCGCCGAAGGUAAUUGAUUUAAAUCUCAUUGUAUGUUUGAUACAUCAACGAGCUCAUAUGCAUCUAAGCAUCCCCAUUGGAGUCAGCUAAAAAUUAGCAUCUUGAUUUGAUCUUUAGAAAAAAGAGCAUGUUGUAGUCUGCCCAUGUGAUUGCACUCUGAAGACCCUCUUUUUGUUUUUUGUGAGCAGCCAAGAAAUUUGGAGUCACUGAGUUUGUGAAUCCCAAGGACCACAACAAACCUGUUCAAGAGGUUUGAUACCAUCCUCGCUUGAUGACAUUUUCCUGUGAUCUGAUACUGUAUAAUACCUUGUCCUUUCAAACUGAAAUCCGUUAACUUCAACUCAGGUGAUUGCUGAAAUGACUGACGGGGGUGUUGAUCGAAGCCUUGAGUGCACUGGAAAUAUCAACGCCAUGAUCUCUGCAUUUGAAUGUGUUCAUGAUGUAAGUACUUUUAAAGACUUCACUCCUAGAAAGUUGCUAGAUCAAUGAAAUGCUCUGUCAAUCUGUUUUUCUCGUCAUUAACGGGUUGAAAAUUGAAUCUGCAGGGAUGGGGGGUUGCUGUUCUUGUCGGCGUCCCUAGCAAAGAUGAUGCAUUCAAGACCCAUCCGAUGAAUCUCUUGAACGAGAGAACUCUCAAGGGCACUUUCUUUGGCAACUACAAGCCAAGGACUGACCUUCCCUCUGUUGUGGAGAAGUACAUGAAUAAGGUAUAACACUGGGUCGUCAUGUUUCUUCCGAGCACAAAUGCCUGUGCUUUCCUAUAUUUCAAAAUGAAUCCACAUCUCUUAGGCCACAUUUCUAGUAGCGCUUGGCCUCCACCGGUGCACAUAAUGUCAUUUAUGCAUAAAUUUCACCUUACCAGUUCAUUUCAGUUGAGCGCUUCUUGACCUACAAAGCUUCACAUAUAUUCUAUGCAAUCAUUCUCUUUUUCUCUUACUUGUGCCGAAUCUAUCUACUUGUAAGGAAGUUUUGACCGAAGUGGUGUUCAUAUAUGAGCAGGAACUUGAUGUGGAGAAGUUCAUUACGCAUGAGGUUCCUUUCUCGGAGAUCAAUAAGGCAUUCGACUACAUGCUUCAAGGCGCUAGCCUUCGCUGUAUUAUCCGCAUGGGUGCCUAGAAUCGCUGACACUGCAGACCAUUUUGCUUCAGGAGGAAGACAAACUUUGCCGAGCUUUUGAAGUUAUUGCUGCGCCGUUGUUAUAUGCCCGUGUCUUGAGGCGUAAGAGUGAUGAAUAAAUGACCCCUUUGCUGCUGUAAAUGGUUUGUUAGCAAUUAAUGGAUGUUCAUGUUCGAAUUCUCGUGAUAAUGUCAACUUUAUUUGUAAGAUGAUGAGAUGAAAUCUUGCAUUAUCAGCUGCUUUGCUUCAUAAAAGAACGAGAGCGAAAAGAAACCACAAAUCCAAUACGUGCAAACUGUAGUAGAUAAUGAGCUUUGUUUUGAGCUGGACCGGACAACCGGCCGUCCCAGUCAUGGCCCGAUCUUGUGUAGAGGUGAUAAGUUUCUGACAGGAUUACGUGAUAACAUGACUCAAACGAAACCGGGAUUUACUUACAGGAACUCAUAUGAGAUCAACUUCACACACGCGAACUCGUGUUCUCGCAAGUGUCGCCAUGUUAUCCUAGCGCAGAAUCUUCUCCACACUACUAGAGGACCUCACAAUGACAGCAAGUGUACUUCAUUAUCUUCCUUUCGACUUGGCAACAAGUUGACCAAAUGUGCCUGUCUGAUCUCUAGCUGGACCUGACUUGGACCUAUGUGAGGCUCAUUGUCUCUGAUCUUGGACACCAACGGUAGGUCAGAGCCGCUGCUCUAUUUUUCUAGAUUCUGUCUCCAUUCGAUUCGAGCCUCUCUUCAUUGAACUUUACGAAGCAAGACAAUUCAGAAACGACACAAUUUGCACCGAGCGGUGUGAGAGCCGUUCUUUCAAUUGUGACCCGUGAACAGAUUCUUGGCAUCUAUCCAAGAGCCAAACCAGCAUGGUCUGGUCUAUGCCCCCAGCUUGCCACGACAAGUCCUUGCAAUGAACACAGAACAUGGCACCAAGAUGCACAUUCAUAGCUAUGCAUUUUCUUGUCUCAAGAUUAUGUUCGAUAUCCGAAUUCCACUUCAUUUUGAACAAAAGGGCGGUGCUCAAGCUCGGCACGAGUUUGAUUGUUCAUGCAACCGAGUGCAAACGAUUCUAUAUUCAGGCAGCUUGCCCCGGGUUUCAGCUCGCAUCUCACCUGAUUCACAAGGUAAGUGAGGCUUUCGUCCGUCAUUGAGUAUGCCUAAUUCAAAGUAGGUUUGCUGAGACGGGUUUCUUCACAUGAGACUGGCACAUGAUUAGACUAAUAAAAUACAUACCUACAUCAGAUGGAGGGACCGCACGAUCAUGGCGGAACCGAAGAAGCACAGGGACCAAAACUGAAAAUUCGAGAAAGUACACUUCCCAAAGUGUAAUUCCUAAGUUUGUCACUCGAGUAUAAAAUGCAUUUCAAACCCAAGCAUGUCAAACCCAAGUCAAAGCCAACGUGCACCUCUCUCUCUCUCUAGAAGAUGGGUCUGCAAAUCUCCGCCUCCUCCUUCUUCCUCAUCAUCCUCACCGUCGCCGCCGCCGCCGCCGUCGCCCCUCCGGCGAAGCCCCACGCCGCGCUGAUCCCGAAGGUGUGCAGGGCCACCAAGUACUACGGCCUCUGCCUCUCCACCCUCAAGUCCGACCCCUCCAUCUCCCGCGCCGACCCCAAGGGCCUCGCCUCCAUUGCCCUCGCCGCCGCCCUCGCCAACGCCACCUCCGCCUCCUCCUUCCUCUCCUCUCUCGCCCUCGGCUCCUCCUCCGGCGGCGCCGCCGGCGACCCCGCCCUGUCCCGGCUCCUCCUGGACUGUGCCGACAAGUACGGCCUCGCCGGCGACGCGCUCCGGGCGUCGGCGCUUGACGUGGCGGCGGAGGCCUACGACUACGCCUACGUGCACGCGAUGGCGGCGGAGGACUACCCGAGCGCGUGCCGCGACGCGUUCCGGAGGUCGCCGGCGGGGACGGCCUACCCGCCGGAGCUCGCGCGGCGGGAGGACGGGCUCAAGCGCAUCUGCGACGUCGUGCUGGGGAUCAUUGAAUUUCUCGGCUCGUGACGAAAAGAAUUUAUUUUUUUCUUCCAUUUUGCUAAUCUAGUUAAUGUCAAUUUCAGAUUUAUUUUUAUCAAAAUAUUUCACGUCGCUCCAUUAAUUAUUAAAAUUUUCACAUAAUUAAGGGGCGAAAUUCCUAUGCAAAUCCCGUGAUUGUUGGCUUAUUAGUAUGCAAAGUUCAUCACCUCGUUGGUUCCAAAAUUGUUGACUUUAGCUAUUACGAAUCUUUGGAUUUUGUUUGACGGUUGCUCAUAAUUUCUUUGUAUGACCAACAUAUUAUUUUAUAAGUGACAAUUUAUAAAGAGAAUGACAAGAUCAAAAUGUGUUUGUUGGAGGGAGAAAUGCAAUCGUAGAAAAAAAGCUACUGUAGAACAUAAUUUAUUGAAAAGAGUGAAGAGGUUAGACUAGAGAGAGCCUUCAGUCAUCGGGGAGUGAUAACUCCAUAUUGACAUUAUUCAUAUUUAUAUUUAGUUAAAUUUGUGUGUAAGUGAUGUGCAUAAUUUAUACUCGCUGAUAAGAAAAAUGAUAAUAUAUAAUAUGCAAGUAACAAUUUAGCAGGAGGGGUGCCUAGGUUGAGCAAUUUUUAGGUAGGUAGAUUUCAUACUUGGAAUCUGAAAUGUCAAUGCCAUGAUCUCUGCAUUCGAAUGUGUUCGGGAUGUAAGUACUUGCAGACAAAGCUGCUAGAUCAAUGAAAUGCUCUGUCGAUCUGUUUCUCUCAUCAUUAACGGGUUGGGAAUUGAUCUGCAGGGAUGGGGGGUUGCUGUUCUUGUCGGCGUCCCUAACAAAGAUGAUGCAUUCAAGACCCAUCCCGUGAAUCUCUUGAACGAGAGGACUCUCAAGGGCACUUUCUUUGGCAACUUCAAGCCAAGGACUGACCUUCCCUCUGUUGUAGAGAAGUACAUGAACAAGGUAUAACCCCAACUCAUGAUACUUCUUCACGGCACAUGCACAUACCCUGUCAUCCAUGCAUAAAUUGCCAUCUUGCCGGGUUCCAAAGCUUUGCAUACAAUUUACGCAUUUGGUCUCUUUUUCUCUUACUCGUCUGAUCAUGUACGGAGUUUUUGACUGAAGUGAUGCUCGUAUACGAAC